rnacentral:rRNA from 1 species
UACAGAGGUCUCAAGCGUUGUUCGGAUUCCUUGGGCGUAAAGGGUUCGUAGGCGGCGCGGUAAGUCGGGUGUGAAAUCUUGGAGCUUAACUCCGAAACUGCAUUCGAUACUGCCGUGCUUGAGGACUGGAGAGGAGACUGGAAUUUACGGUGUAGCGGUGAAAUGCGUAGAUAUCGUAAGGAAGACCAGUGGCGAAGGCGGGUCUCUGGACAGUUCCUGACGCUGAGGCACGAAGGUCAGGGGAGCAAACGGG